AGAUUGAACGCUGGCGGCGUGCUUAACACAUGCAAGUCGAGCGGUAACGCGGGAGCAAUCCUGGCGACGAGCGGCGAACGGGUGAGUAAUGCUUGGGAAUCUGCCCAUUAGUGGGGAACAACCAGCCGAAAGGUUGGCUAAUACCGCAUACGCCCUACGGGGGAAAGCGGGGGAUCGAAAGACCUCGCGCUAAUGGAUGAGCCCAAGUCGGAUUAGCUUGUUGGUAGGGUAACGGCCUACCAAGGCGACAAUCCGUAGCUGGUCUGAGAGGACGACCAGCCACACUGGGACUGAGACACGGCCCAGACUCCUACGGGAGGCAGCAGUGGGGGAAUAUUGGACAAUGGGGGCAACCCUGAUCCAGCGACGCCGCGUGUGUGAAGAAGGCCUGCGGGUUGUAAAGCACUUUUAGUGGGGAUGAAAAGCUCAGGGUUAACACCUCUGGGUCUUGACCUAACCCACAGAAAAGCACCGGCUAACUCUGUGCCAGCAGCCGCGGU
rnacentral:rRNA from 1 species